UCUGCAGCCGGAGAGAGCCCGGCUGAGGUGGGCUCUGCGUCUGAUCCUGGCAUCUGGCGGCAGGGCCGCACCUACGGCGACGGGGCCAAGGGUGUAUCACCAGUAAGCCUCCGACAUUUCUACGGAUACUUCAGCAAGGGAGAGAACCUGAAGCACAACUGGUUAUUUCUGCAGUCCGUUAAAAUGUUCCCGUUUCUCAGAGUUUGAAGAUAUCUAGCCUGCCGGAAAGCGCGAGAGCACCUCACAGCACCUACCCCUAGAGCCCAGGCCCUCCUCAGUAGACACAAACUCACCGCAUUUGUUCUGGGGAGGGUGAAAUGCGUUAAGGAGUAAGCAGUGAGAUGUGUGGUGCCCACUAACAGGAGCAGGGAUUUAGGGCAUCGAAGAAAGUGGCAAGUAAAGGCUCUCCCCGCAGAACCACCACGCCCGGUUCCUAUUCCUGUUGAGAUUUCUGCUGUGAUAGGUGUUUACUUUUCUGAUCAAAGUGGCAAUAGCUUGUUACCUCUCAAGACGCUUAUGUUAAUAGAUCUUAAAGUCCCCAGGAAAGAGAAUGGUAAGAGAGAACGUUGGCAGAGGCAUGAGGACUGCGAGAGGGCCAGCCCAGCGCCCGCUAAAUCACACCUGGUGAUGCCAACCUCUCCUAACUGUAAGGCUCAGGGCGCCUGUCAAUGGGCGUAUCUCAUACUUCACAUUUCAUGAUUCCGUCAGCCUCCAUCGGGACAGAUGAAUUGUCAGCGCUCUUAGGUGCCUCCGGAAAACCAGCUAACACCAAAAGAGUUUUGGACAAUAAUCAACCAAGGUUUAGGGCUUGGCACAUUGUCUGGUACAUAGCAAGCACUUGGCUUUCCCUAUCUGCUGCCAGAGGAAUCUUCUGAAAGUCAAUCUUUAUCAUGUCCCUCCUGUUAAAAGAAGUUGGAGAAGGAGAGGAAGAAGAAAGGUUGAAUGAAGAGAAGCAUUUAUGGAAAAGUGACUCAACUAUGUGGGGAGGCUAAAGGAAGAUAAUUUUAACAAGGGAGAGCACAGUCCUCUGAACCUCUGAGGAGAAUUCUCUGAAGAAUCAAAGCGCACUUAGUCAUCAGAAGAGAAGAUGUUUUAGCUGACUGACCUCUGCUUCUGAAUAGACAAAACCAAAAUAUAUUCUCAGCAACAAUAAUAAGCACAAUCUUCAUAAAAUACCAGAGGAAGAUAUCGCAAAUCAGCCCCAAACUCCAGGUAACUUUUUGCCACUUUGUUUCUUUGAGAUGCUUCAGUCAGUGCAGGUCUAUUGCCCUUUGGCUAUGUUGCUGCUAUAAUUAACCUGAAGCCCAAUUAAGACAAAUGCUUUAAAAGAACAGCCAGUUCUGAUGAGGCUUAUUCUGAGAAAAAUCUGAAAAACAGUCUAGAGUUGCCAGAGGUCAAGUUUGUGCACCUUUUCUUCCUGUCAGCAUACAGAUCCACAGUUUGGAUGUUUGACUAAUUUUUGCAAAUUAACUACCAUUUAAUUAUCACAGAGGAAGGCAUCUGCCUGUUUCCCACCAAACUGUUACUCUAUUGUAGGCAAAUCGGUAUGAAGACUAAUGUAAUUUGCCUAUUGUACAGACUGGCCCUUUAAAAGUCCAUUCCUGUGUUGUUUUCUGAAUGUCCCCAUGCUUUCUUUUGUGACAUUGAUAUUGAAGAUAUAGUAGGCCACUGAAUGACAUACAGCUCACACCCACCCUGCAGUGCCAAUAAAAGGCAGUGUUAGGAUGUCUGACCUCAUGACGUAGGAAACAGUUUAUCAGCCCUACACCCCAUGCUUGAUCAAGCUGUGCUGGUCCUGGUGUACAAUGGAAUUACAACCAACCAGAGAGAAGAUGGAAUGAAUUAGAAACAAAGCCCUACACUUACUGGGAGAUUUUGUUCAAGUCAGUAUAGUUGAGAAUGACACGCAUUCAGAAAAGGAGCUUACCCAUUGUGAAUUUUGCCAUGUUGUAAUUCAGAGUUCCUUCUCAGAAUUACAAAGGUAUUACAGUCUGAGUAGCAUGGUUGCCAGAGAAUGAAUCUUCAGAGAGCCCUGGGUAGCCUGAGUCACAGGAACUGCUCCUUGGCUGUGAAUCCACUGUGUCUAUAAUAGUUUAGCCCUGAUCCCUGACGUUAUGCUGCCUGAGUCACAUGCUGGUAGAGAUUACUUCAAAUUUAAGUAGAAAGGUCAAAAGAGGACAGGGAGGCAGGGCAGCUUGAACAUAUUAGGGAGAACAGACUAUGUGGGGUCUCCUUCCCUCAGGCAGAAAACGACUUCUCCUUGGAGAGAACUCACACAUUCCUGAUAAGAGAAAAAUGAGUAUGCCUGUGGAAAACAAAAUGCCCCUGAAGUAGAAUUUUUUAACUCAGACACUUUAGGCUUCAACCAUAUUCAGGAGGAUUUGGGUCACAGAAGAAUUUAUGUUAAAACUAAAGUUCCGAUCUCUCCUUAUCUCAGAUUAUCAUCUUGAGAUACUAAGCUAGUUGGGCCCCAAAAAUCUGAUUACCAUCUUCCAAAAAAGAAGAAAUCAUUGUUUGUAGGAGAGCUGAUGAUCAUUUCUUAGUCAUUUAUCUUUCUUGAGCUGUUAAAAAUUCUUGAUACAUUAAGCUACCCUUGAUAGUUUUUGAAAUCUUGAGAAAUGCAUCUGAUCCAAGUUAAUAACUCUCAUCAGUAUUUUUAAAUGAUGCCUGGGUGCACUACUUAAAUAAGCUGAGUCCAGGCUCCUCAUUAUAUUAGAGAUCAUCAGGUGAUGUCCUUUCAGCUGACAAACAGGGCUCUUCCUUCUUGCCAGAGCAGAGGGCAAGUUCUUGGUAAACGUGCAAGGCUCAUAUGACUAAUGAGAGUUAGUUUGGCCCCUAAUGAGACUCUAAGUCCCAUUAAACCAAAAUAGGAAUCAGAGCAUCAUAUCAACCUGUGGAAGCUCCAAGAACUAUUCCUGUCUCCAGUGUAAGGAAAAUGAAUUUCAGGACCUCAAUGAAAACAAGAAUCCAUAAAUGUUGCCAUAGCCAUCUAAUCCUGCAUUUUGACUUCAGCAGAAGUACCAGGGGAGUUUUGUGAAAGGGAAGUCCGGUUCCUUCAGUAUCAGUCUCAAAAGGUCAGGGAUGUAUUUCAACUUCUAUCAGUAAACUACUAUCAAUUCCCUAGACAUAGAGUUUACCUGACCCUUUAAAAGCUAUUUGUGUAACCCAUAUAUUCCCAGCUUCCCAGUAUGACUGCAAAGGAAAGUACCUUCCAAAAUUAUGACAGCAUUCUCUCCUACCGGCCCAUUAGCUGGAAAUUCACCUCUAUCAAAGUGCUCUCAACUGUAUUUGGAACUUUAUUUGUACUACCCUAUAUACAAAGCUCUAAAAUAGAGCUUUCCCACACAUUCCUUCUGGCCUUCUCAACUCACUGCUUUGACCUUCAGGGAAGUUCUGCCCUCCUUCCUGCUGAUGUCCACUGUUGCCCCCAUUUCAGCUUCAGGGAAGAUAAACUUUUUUCCUUUGUUCCAAGAGAACAUCCUGAUAAUGGCUCUCACUUUCUGGUGGAGCUAGAAUGCAGGUAAUGCUGCCUUUCCAGGCGAAGGGCUCAUUACCCCAGGGCUCAAAUGCCAGUUGUUUCCCUCUCUGAGCUGGUAUUGUUUCUGCUGCCAUUCCUGACAAAAACAAAAAGCAGCUUGAUGUUGUUCCUAUCCUGGGGCUCACUCAUGACCAGCAUGAGUUUGCUCAGUGCCUCUCCAUGCAUACCGCAAGAUCCAAGACCAAAUGGAUCUCAAAUCCAGAGAUAGGCAGAAGUCCCUCUUACCACAGUCCAUAGUUUCCAUUAAUUUCCUGCAUGGGAAUUAUCUACUUUACAGGAUGACUGAUUGUGGAAACAUCCAUUCUCUUAAAGAAAAACCUACUUCCACCCAACCAUUGAGCCCAACAGAUGCCCUCUGACCCGCUGUAAUACAACCUUAAAGUGGUAUAUAACAUUGGCCUAGUCUUUUUUUACUAUCUCAGGUACAGGGAUCUCUAGGUCCAUUAAUAUGUCCAGAUGGGUCUGGAAAUAAAUAGCAUACUUCAUGUAGGUAAUUGGGGGAAGUUAAUAAAGGUACUAUUUAAAAAUAAUAGGCAAGUAUGAUAGAAAUCAGCAAAGGAUAAUGCAGUAUCUGGGGGUUAGAAAAAGGAGAAGUUAUUGCUGUCCAUAAGUCUAAAGUGAGAAAAGGGGGAUGUGUUUCCCAGGACCUAGAAAGAAAAUGGAAAGAGCUUACAAAUGCAGUAGACUUCAGCAGAUAGGCUAAGCCAACCCUGAACACCCGGGAUACAAGGAGCUAGGGAGAAAAUACCCCAACCUCUCUCUUCCCUCUUCCAAACUCCUGCCACAGUGCUCUCACCACCAUCCUACUCGCCAAACCCAAGAGGGCAGGUCCAAAUAGGUCAGCCUCCCAGGGCCAGAGCAGGGAAGACAUGGGUAAAAAUUAGAUCUGAGGAGGUAAAAGUAUCUGGCAAAACUACCUAUUGUGAAACUGAACAGCUUUAAUUUGUUUUCUCUCAGUUUAUUUCUUCAAAGUUUCAAGAAAUGUUCUAACCUAAGCAUAAGAAUUCUAUCAGUGAUUCACCUGAUCUUUGCCUCUGGAUUUUAAAAGCCUUAAUCAUAUACCCUCUAAGUCACUGUUUCCCCAAAUUUAAAACACCUAAUCACUGGCACACAUGGUGUGGGUGGGGAUCAUGGGGAAGACAGUGUAGCACAGAGAAGGCAAACAGUGACUCUGUGGCAUCUUACUACACUGAUGUACAGUGACUGCAAUGGGGCAUGGAGAGGAACUCGAUAAUCUGGAUGAAUGUAUAACCAAAUUGUUUUUCAUAUUCACCUUCGUAAGAGUGUGUAUCAUUAAUAUCUAAUUUAAAAAAAGUAA